UAUUGUAGAGUUUAAACUGAAGGUUGAAAGAAUAAGGUUGCAAGUAGCUACAAAUGAAAUAUUCAAGUCCAAGAAAUCAGACACUCUGUAUUUUCGAACCUCUCUCCUAGUGAAAGCAGGAAGAGAGAAGGCAUUACUUGAGUAUAAGAAAGAGAUUGAGUUACUACAAGAAAAUAUAUCAAUAACUAGAAAGCAACUGCUGAUGAGUCAAAAGGCAAAUAUUCACAAGACGGGUCAGUGUAAACAAACACCAACAGCAACACGAACAGCAAAAUCUAUUUACACAUCAUGUAUUGACUAUCAAGGAAUAUAUAGUCAUCAUCUUGGAUUCAGUGAGGGAGAACAGCUGGAGAUAUAUGAUAAGUGUGAUAUUUUUUAUGGAGAGGAAGAUCCUUGGCAUCUGGUGAUGAGGGAGACAUUCCAAGUAGUUGUGUUUACUCAAUGUUGGAGUCACUUCAAUUGUUGGAGUUUCUAUUGAGAUUGGGCAAUGAUGAGAAAGUUUCUCAUAUCUUGGAGACUAUUAAUAAUGAUCCUAUUGUGAUACCGGCACUGAGACAAGACAAGGAACUACAUGA